GGUUGAACGGAUAAUUUCCGUUUUCAAGAGUUUUAGGCUUCUGGGGUGGGAAGCU
rnacentral:ncRNA from 2 species